rnacentral:rRNA from 1 species
GACGAACGCUGGCGGCGUGCCUAAUACAUGCAAGUCGAGCGCAGGAAGCCGUCUGAACCCUUCGGGGGGACGACGGUGGAAUGAGCGGCGGACGGGUGAGUAACACGUAAAGAACCUGCCCACGGGUCUGGGAUAACCACGAGAAAUCGGGGCUAAUACCGGACGGGUCAUCGGACCGCAUGGUCCGAGGAUGAAAGGCGCUCCGGCGUCGCCCGUGGAUGGCUUUGCGAUGCAUUAGCUAGUUGGUGGGGUAACGGCCCACCAAGGCGACGAUGCAUAGCCGACCUGAGAGGGUGAUCGGCCAAACUGGGACUGGGACACGGCCCAGACUCCUGCGGGAGGCAGCAGUAGGGAAGCUUCCACAAUGGACGGAAGUCUGAUGGAGCAACGCCGCGUGAACGAUGAAGGCCCUCGGGUCGUAAAGUUCUGUUGUAAGGGAAGAACAAGUGCCGCAGGCAAUGGCGGCACCUUGACGGUACCUUGCGAGAAAGCCACGGCUAACUACGUGCCAGCCGCCGCGGUAACAC